ACCUAUGGCCAUGCCACCCUGAACAAGCCCGAUCCUGUCUGAUUUUGGAAGCUAAGCAGGGUUGGGCCUGGUUAGUACUUGGAUGGGAGACCACCUUGGAAGACCAGGUACUGUAGGCA
rnacentral:rRNA from 1 species